rnacentral:rRNA from 1 species
CACGUAGGGACCAAGCGUUGUCCGGAUUCAUUGGGCGUAAAGAGCUCGUAGGCGGUUCGGUAAGUCGGGUGUGAAACCUCCAGGCUCAACCUGGAGACGCCACCCGAUACUGCUGUGACUAGAGUCCAGUAGGGGAGCGUGGAAUUCCUGGUGUAGCGGUGAAAUGCGCAGAUAUCAGGAGGAACACCUAUAGCGAAGGCAGCUUGCUGGGACGUUACUGACGCUAAGGCGCGAAAGCGUGGGGAGCGAACAGG